GAUGAACGCUGGCGGCGUGCUUAACACAUGCAAGUCGAGCGAGAAGUUUUGAAAAGAUUCUUCGGAUGAAAUUUAAAAUGGAAAGCGGCGGACGGGUGAGUAACGCGUAGGCAGCCUGCCCCAUACAAAGGGAUAGCAUUUGGAAACGAAUAUUAAUACCUUAUGAAACUUAACUAGUGCAUGCUAGGUAGGUCAAAGAUUUAUCGGUAUGGGAUGGGCCUGCGUCUGAUUAGCUAGUUGGUGAGGUAACGGCUCACCAAGGCGACGAUCAGUAGCCGACCUGAGAGGGUGAACGGCCACAUUGGGACUGAGACACGGUCCAAACUCCUACGGGAGGCAGCAGUGGGGAAUAUUGCACAAUGGGGGAAACCCUGAUGCAGCAACGCCGCGUGAACGAUGAAGGCCUUUGGGUCGUAAAGUUCUGUUCUAGGUGAUGAAAACUGACAGUAACCUAGGAGAAAGCCCCGGCUAACUCCGUG
rnacentral:rRNA from 1 species